CUCCGGAUUGCUCUCACGUGAUUGCUGCAAAAUGCAACAUGGAGACAUCGUGAACAAAUGUGUUUGUGUCAUUUUGUGCUGCAGGUUUGGUGGGGCGGCGGCUUGUUAGCACAGUCAAUGCGUAAAAAUGAAUGGGUUAAUGUCUGGUUCCUGUUAAGUGCCGUUCACGGAGAGCUUCCCAGAGCCCCAGGGGAUUCCUGGCUGUGCAACAUUCAGUCAUCAAUAUACAUUGUGAUGUGACUCUGAAAGCAACGUUAUUGACAAAUCACUCAAGAUCAGGGAAUCAUCUUAUAAUACGUAAAGAUUCUUCAUGAAGAUGACUGUGCAAGCAAUUUCUAUGGGGAAAAUGAAAACGGAAUGAAUUUGUUUAAAAAACAUUCUGUGCUUCCCAAAUAAUUGACAAUCUGCGCAAGUGAUUACAUGGAAAGACAAGAGUGUCCAGAGGCUGGAAUAUUGGGCAAAAACAAAGUGCUGGACAAACUCAGUGGGUCAUUGCAGCACCUGUGGAAGGCAAUGGACAGGUGACAUUUCGGGUCAAGCUGCAGAUGGGUCCUGACCCACAACAUCAUCUGUCCAAUUUCCUCCACAGAUGCUGCCUGACCUGCGGAGGUCCUCCAGCACAUUGUUUUCUUUUGCACAGGGACAAAUGGAUUUGUUUUCCAAUUUAUUGGGCUAAACUGGACCUCGAUAAACUUUUGAACACGUGGCUAAUGCAAAUCUCCUUGAACUUGUGGGAGAAGUUGCAUCUGAUCCACCAGUGCUCAUGAUGUGAAGUGUACGUGAAAAAUAUCAGAAGUUACUUUGAAUAAACCAAUGUGAGCUGCAC